rnacentral:misc_RNA from 1 species
AAAAUGCUUGGACAAACAUGCAGAAAAAUUACUGGAAGUCUCAAUGUUUCUCCACGUAUAGAGUUCAAGCGAUAUUUGUGGAGAAACAGCAUCUGCCAGCAGAAAAUAGACAUUACAUUGAAAUAUACAGAUGAAGCAAGUGGAUCAAAAGCAAACAAAGAACCAACUUUGUACGAGAAAUUCUUAAAGAACCCCAAGUCUGUUCCAUUAAUCACAUCCAGAAAGUUAGAAAACUGUAACAAAUACCGACAGCCCCGGCAAGCCUGGCUGGAGACCCUCAGUACUGUAGAGGACCAUAAACUGGGCAUGCUAGAUCUCCACCCAGACAUAUUUGCUGUACAUCCAAGGCUUGACAUACUAUACCACAAUCUUAGAUGGCAGGAAUUUUACAAGAAAAUAUGAUUUGUGAUGUGGAUUAUCUGUAGGAUUACAAUUGGACCCCUAGUCGAGGUGACCUUGAUGUGUCGGGUGGGAAACAGAUGCCCCAGAAGGGAACUGGGAGAGCCAGGAACCGCAACAGGAGCUCCAUCAUGUUCAGAACAGGUGCCAAGCCACUGGGUCCUAAAGGACCAAGAGCUUUGUUUUACAUGUUGCCCAAGCAAUACAGAGUUCAGGGCCUUUGUACAGCUCUCUCCUUUAAAUAUGCUCAGAACAACUUGCACAUAGUGGACUCAUUGGAAAUUCCCACGGAUGAUCCAGAGUACAUUCAGGAUUUAAUCGACACAAGGUUCUGGGGAUUCUCCGCCUUAUUUGUGGACGAUACUGAUUACAUGCCAGAAAACAUAACUUAUGCAUUAGCAGAAUUUCCUUCCUAUAACAUCCUACCAGUAUAUGGAUUAAAUGUGCGAGAUAUGUUGAAACAUGAAACAUUAAUAUUGACACUAGCAGCGGUGGAAAAGAUUGAACAGAAGCUGUUGUUUCACUCCAGCAGGAACAAGAGAAGUUCCAAGUUCUCUAUGGACACAAGAUAUGACCAGUACUGAUUUUUGUAAUGAAAGAGAAAUAAAACAAAGCAUUUU